GAUGAACGCUGGCGGCGUGCCUAAUACAUGCAAGUCGAACGCAUUGUGGUUGAAAUGAUAUGAAGAACUUGUUCAGAUUUGAUUUUCAACAUUGCAAUGAGUGGCGAACGGGUGAGUAACACGUGGGAAACCUACCUCUUAGCAGGGGAUAACAUUUGGAAACAAAUGCUAAUACCGUAUAAUAAUUAAAACCGCAUGGUUUUAGUUUAAAAGAUGGUCUUGCUAUCACUAAGAGAUGGUCCCGCGGUGUAUUAGUUAGUUGGUGAGGUAAUGGCUCACCAAGACAAUGAUACAUAGCCGAAGUUGAGAGACUGACCGGCCACAAUGGGACUGAGACACGGCCCAUACUCCUACGGGAGGCAGCAGUAGGGAAUCUUCCACAAUGGACGAAAGUCUGAUGGAGCAACGCCGCGUGUGUGAUGAAGGGUUUCGGCUCGUAAAACACUGUUGUAAGAGAAGAAUGACAUUGAGAGUAACUGUUCAAUGUGUGACGGUA
rnacentral:rRNA from 1 species